UUCCGGUUGAUCCUGCCGGACCCGACUGCUAUCAGAGUGGGACUAAGCCAUGCGAGUCAACGCCGCAAGGCGUGGCGUACGGCUCAGUAACACGUAGUCAACAUGCCCAGGGGACGUGGAUAACCUCGGGAAACUGAGGAUAAACCGCGAUAGGCCAAGGCUUCUGGAAUGGGCCAUGGCUGAAAUCUAUACGGCCCCUGGAUUGGACUGCGGCCGAUCAGGCUGUUGGUGAGGUAAUGGCCCACCAAACCUGUAACCGGUACGGGCUUUGAGAGAAGGAGCCCGGAGAUGGGCACUGAGACAAGGGCCCAGGCCCUAUGGGGCGCAGCAGGCGCGAAACCUCUGCAAUAGGCGAAAGCUUGACAGGGUUACUCUGAGUGAUGUCCGCUAAGGACAUCUUUUGGCACCUCUAAAAAUGGUGCAGAAUAAGGGGUGGGCAAGUCUGGUGUCAGCCGCCGCGGUAAUACCAGCACCCCGAGUGGUCGGGACGAUUAUUGGGCCUAAAGCAUCCGUAGCUUGUUCUGCAAGUCCUCCGUUAAAUCCACCUGCUCAACAGAUGGGCUGCGGAGGAUACUACAGGGCUAGGAGGCGGGAGAGGCAAACGGUACUCAGUGGGUAGGGGUAAAAUCCUCUGAUCCAUUGAAGACCACCAGUGGCGAAGGCGGUUUGCCAGAACGCGCUCGACGGUGAGGGAUGAAAGCUGGGGGAGCAAACCGGAUUAGAUACCCGGGUAGUCCCAGCUGUAAACGAUGCAGACUCGGUGAUGGGUUGGCUUCGAGCCAACCCAGUGCCGCAGGGAAGCCGUUAAGUCUGCCGCCUGGGGAGUACGGUCGCAAGACUGAAACUUAAAGGAAUUGGCGGGGGAGCACCACAAGGGGUGAAGCCUGCGGUUCAAUUGGAGUCAACGCCGGGA
rnacentral:rRNA from 1 species